AGUGAACGCUGGCGGUAGGCCUAACACAUGCAAGUCGAACGGCAGCACAGUAAGAGCUUGCUCUUACGGGUGGCGAGUGGCGGACGGGUGAGGAAUACAUCGGAAUCUACUUUUUCGUGGGGGAUAACGUAGGGAAACUUACGCUAAUACCGCAUACGACCUACGGGUGAAAGCAGGGGAUCUUCGGACCUUGCGCGAUUGAAUGAGCCGAUGUCGGAUUAGCUAGUUGGCGGGGUAAAGGCCCACCAAGGCGACGAUCCGUAGCUGGUCUGAGAGGAUGAUCAGCCACACUGGAACUGAGACACGGUCCAGACGCCUACGGGAGGCAGCAGUGGGGAAUAUUGGACAAUGGGCGCAAGCCUGAUCCAGCCAUACCGCGUGGGUGAAGAAGGCCUUCGGGUUGUAAAGCCCUUUUGUUGGGAAAGAAAAGCAGCAGGUUAAUACCCCGCUGUUCUGACGGUACCCAAAGAAUAAGCACCGGCUAACUUCGU
rnacentral:rRNA from 1 species